rnacentral:rRNA from 1 species
UACGUAGGUGACAAGCGUUGUCCGGAUUUACUGGGCGUAAAGAGCGCGCAGGCGGUCGAUCAAGUCGAGUGUGAAAGCCCCCGGCUCAACUGGGGAGGGUCAUUCGAUACUGAUCGACUCGAAGGCAGGAGAGGGUAGUGGAAUUCCCGGUGUAGCGGUGAAAUGCGCAGAUAUCAGGAGGAACACCCGUAGCGAAGGCGGCACUCUGGGCCGGAACUGACGCUGAGGAGCGAAAGCGUGGGGAGCGAACAGG